GUGAGGAAUUUUCCGCAAUGGGCGAAAGCCUGACGGAGCAAUGCCGCGUGAAGGAUGAAGGCCUAUGGGUUGUAAACUUCUUUUCUCAGAAAAGAAUUAUGACGGUAUCUGAGGAAUAAGCAUCGGCUAACUCUGUGCCAGCAGCCGCGGUAAGACAGAGGAUGCAAGCGUUAUCCGGAAUGAUUGGGCGUAAAGCGUCUGUAGGUUGUUUAAAAAGUAUUCUGUCAAAGAUUAGGGCUUAACCCUAGAUAGGCAGAAUAAACUUUUAAGCUAGAGUUUGGUAGAGGCAGAGGGAAUUCCCGGUGGAGCGGUGAAAUGCGUAGAUAUCGGGAGGAACACCAAAGGCGAAGGCACUCUGCUGGGCCAAUAUUAACACUGAGAGACGAAAGCGAGGGGAGCAAAUGGGAUUAGAAACCCCUGUAGUCC
rnacentral:rRNA from 1 species